UACAGAGGGGGCGAGCGUUGUUCGGAAUUACUGGGCGUAAAGGGCGCGUAGGCGGCCCGCUAAGUCGAACGUGAAAUCCCCAGGCUCAACCUGGGAACUGCGUCCGAUACUGGCAGGCUUGAAUCCGGGAGAGGGAUGUGGAAUUCCCAGUGUAGUGGUGAAAUACGUAGAGAUUGGGAAGAACACCAGUGGCGAAGGCGGCUAUCUGGACGGUUUCUGACACUAAGACUCGAAAGCGUGGGGAGCAAACAGG
rnacentral:rRNA from 1 species